rnacentral:rRNA from 1 species
AUUGAACGCUGGCGGCAUGCCUUACACAUGCAAGUCGAACGGCAGCACGGGGCAACCUGGUGGCGAGUGGCGAACGGGUGAGUAAUGCAUCGGAACGUACCUUUCAGUGGGGGAUAACGUAGCGAAAGUUACGCUAAUACCGCAUAUUCUGUGAGCAGGAAAGCAGGGGAUCGCAAGACCUUGCGCUGAUUGAGCGGCCGAUGUCAGAUUAGCUAGUUGGUGAGGUAAAGGCUCACCAAGGCGACGAUCUGUAGCGGGUCUGAGAGGAUGAUCCGCCACACUGGAACUGAGACACGGUCCAGACUCCUACGGGAGGCAGCAGUGGGGAAUUUUGGACAAUGGGGCAACCCUGAUUCAGCCAUGCCGCGUGAGUGAAGAAGGCCUUCGGGUUGUAAAGCUCUUUCGGCCGGGAAGAAAUCGCACGGGCUAAUACCCUGCGUGGAUGACGGUACCGGAAUAAGAAGCACCGGCUAACUACGUGCCAGCCGCCGCAGUAA